ACUCUCGGCAACGGAUAUCUCGGCUCACGCAUCGAUGAAGAACGUAGCAAAAUGCGAUACUUGGUGUGAAUUGCAGAAUCCCGUGAACCAUCGAGUUUUUGGACGCAAGUUGCGCCCAAAGCCUUUUGGUUGAGGGCACGUCUGCCUGGGCGUCACACAUCACGUCGC
rnacentral:rRNA from 1 species